AAGUUAGACUGAUAGACCCUACCAAGUUAUAAAAUGAUAAUAAUAAUAGUAAUAAUAAUAGCUUCAAAUAAUUAUAAGACACGUCAUUUUCAUUCUAACCCUGCAAUAUGUAGUAUUAUUAUCACUGUUUUAUUGUUGAGAUAAUUGAGAAAUAGAGAAAGUAACUUAUCCCAAAUCACAUAGUUAGCACAUGGCAGAGCUCUAUUUAAAGUAAGCCUGGCUGACUGCAUGAGGGAGUUUUUUUAUUAUAUACUAUU
rnacentral:lncRNA from 1 species